rnacentral:rRNA from 1 species
UACAGAGGGGGCAAGCGUUGUUCGGAAUUACUGGGCGUAAAGGGCGCGUAGGUGGCCUGCUAAGUCGAACGUGAAAUCCCUGGGCUCAACCCAGGAACUGCGUCCGAUACUGGUUGGCUUGAAUCCGGGAGAGGGAUGUGGAAUUCCAGGUGUAGCGGUGAAAUGCGUAGAUAUCUGGAGGAACACCGGUGGCGAAGGCAGGUCUCUGGGCCACUACUGACGCUGAGAAGCGAAAGCGUGGGGAGCGAACAGG